rnacentral:rRNA from 1 species
CACGUAGGGGCCAAGCGUUGUCCGGAUUUAUUGGGCGUAAAGGGCGCGUAGGCGGUCGUGACAAGUCACUUGUGAAAUCUCCGGGCUUAACUCGGAACGGUCAAGUGAUACUGUCGGACUAGAGUACAGAAGGGCAACUGGAAUUCUCGGUGUAGCGGUGAAAUGCGUAGAUAUCGAGAGGAACACCUGCGGCGAAGGCGGUUGCUGGCUGAUACUGACGCUGAGGCGCGAAAGCCAGGGAGCGAACGGG